rnacentral:rRNA from 1 species
GUGCCUUCGGGAACUGUGAGACAGGUGCUGCAUGGCUGUCGUCAGCUCGUGUUGUGAAAUGUUGGGUUAAGUCCCGCAACGAGCGCAACCCUUAUCCUUUGUUGCCAGCGGUCCGGCCGGGAACUCAAAGGAGACUGCCAGUGAUAAACUGGAGGAAGGUGGGGAUGACGUCAAGUCAUCAUGGCCCUUACGACCAGGGCUACACACGUGCUACAAUGGCGCAUACAAAGAGAAGCGACCUCGCGAGAGCAAGCGGACCUCAUAAAGUGCGUCGUAGUCCGGAUUGGAGUCUGCAACUCGACUCCAUGAAGUCGGAAUCGCUAGUAAUCGUGGAUCAGAAUGCCACGGUGAAUACGUUCCCGGGCCUUGUACACACCGCCCGUCACACCAUGGGAGUGGGUUGCAAAAGAAGUAGGUAGCUUAACCUUCGGGAGGGCGCUUACCACUUUGUGAUUCAUGACUGGGGUGAAGUCGUAACAAGGUAACCGUAGGGGAACCUGCGGUUGGAUCACCUCCUUACCU